rnacentral:rRNA from 1 species
GACGGCAGCACGGACUUCGGUCUGGUGGCGAGUGGCGAACGGGUGAGUAAUAUAUCGGAACGUACCCUGGAGUGGGGGAUAACGCAGCGAAAGUUGCGCUAAUACCGCAUACGAUCUACGGAUGAAAGUGGGGGCUCGCAAGACCUCAUGCUCGUGGAGCGGCCGAUAUCUGAUUAGCUAGUUGGUAGGGUAAAAGCCUACCAAGGCUUCGAUCAGUAGCUGGUCUGAGAGGACGACCAGCCACACUGGGACUGAGACACGGCCCAGACUCCUACGGGAGGCAGCAGUGGGGAAUUUUGAACAAUGGGGGCAACCCUGAUCCAGCAAUGCCGCGUGAGUGAAGAAGGCCUUCGGGUUGUAAAGCUCUUUUGUCAGGGAAGAAACGGUGAAGGCUAAUACUCUUUGCUAAUGACGGUACCUGAAGAAUAAGCACCGGCUAACUACGUGCCAGCAGCCGCGGUAAUACGUAGGGUGCAAGCGUUAAUCGGAAUUACUGGGCGUAAAGCGUGCGCAGGCGGUUAUGUAAGUCAGAUGUGAAAUCCCCGGGCUCAACCUGGGAAUGGCAUUUGAGACUGCAUGGCUAGAGUGUGUCAGAGGGGGGUAGAAUUCCACGUGUAGCAGUGAAAUGCGUAGAUAUGUGGAGGAAUACCGAU